rnacentral:rRNA from 1 species
GACGAACGCUGGCGGCGUGCCUAAUACAUGCAAGUAGAACGCUGAAGGAGGAGCUUGCUUCUCUGGAUGAGUUGCGAACGGGUGAGUAACGCGUAGGUAACCUACCUGGUAGCGGGGGAUAACUAUUGGAAACGAUAGCUAAUACCGCAUAAGAGUAGAUGUCGCAUGACAUUUGCUUAAAAGGUGCAAUUGCAUCACUACCAGAUGGACCUGCGUUGUAUUAGCUAGUUGGUGAGGUAACGGCUCACCAAGGCAACGAUACAUAGCCGACCUGAGAGGGUGAUCGGCCACACUGGGACUGAGACACGGCCCAGACUCCUACGGGAGGCAGCAGUAGGGAAUCUUCGGCAAUGGACGGAAGUCUGACCGAGCAACGCCGCGUGAGUGAAGAAGGUUUUCGGAUCGUAAAGCUCUGUUGUAAGAGAAGAACGAGUGUGAGAGUGGAAAGUUCGCACUGUGACGGUAUCUUACCAGAAAGGGACGGCUAACUACGU